AUUUGAGAAAUUGAGUCAAUUACGUUUCAUUGUUUCACACCCUAUUGUUGCUUUUAUUUUGAUGGGGACAAACCAAAUCUCCUACUCGUCCGUCAUUCGUCAAGUUACCUGGACGGUGAACAAGUAAAUUGAACCAAGUGGAAAUUGAAAUUAAAACAAGAGAAACCCAACUAGUUGGUCAGCCUGAAAUAUAUUAGCCCAAGUCCGACUUAAAAUAAGACUAUAAGCCCAUUAAACACACCCCUCAAAUUAUCCGACUUUUUUUCCCCCUUCUGGAGACAAAGAAGAAGAACCCUAAUAUCCAUCCGAUCAUGGCACCGAACAACAAUCUGAGAUCCGUAAUCGCGCAGUGCCGCCAUUUAUCUACGAGGUCUCGCCGCAAUGUACCUUCGUCCCGUAGUUACAAUGGUAACAACAAUGUUUUGGGAGAAGGCCGAAGAAGAGUUAUGGCCAGUGGCGAUGGGUUUAAUUAUGUUAAUUGUUUUUUGUCAUCAUUAACGUUCGGAAAUCUUGCUUUCGGUGGUUGGGCAAUUAUCGAGCUACUAGAAUUCCGUCGAACGAUGAUGAGGGAUGUGGAAGAACGUAAUCGUCGUCUUGGCGUAAGGGGGGAGCCACCGGAGAUACUGCGUGAUAUGCUUAAUUGGAUCCUCCAAUGAUUGAAUUCAGAAGAAUUUGUCUUUAGUUUAUGUUUGAUGCUGUAAACAAACAAAAGUUAUAACCUAUGGGUCUGUGAUGUAGCUCUCUGUGUUAGGUUUUUGUAUGAUGCUUUGAAAAAGUUAGACUAGUAAUCUAUGGUUGUGGACCUUGUGGUUAUGUUGGUCAGUGUUAGGGUUUUGUUUGACGCUGUGUGCAAAAUAAAAUUAGUAAUAUAUAUUGGGAGGACUUAUUGUCCUGGACCAGAGUCACGACUGCGAGAGCUCCUUCCGUCCUAAGAAAGCUUGUGGUUCAGGCCAUUAUCUACUCGGCAUGGAAGCAGAGUAACAAUGUGCUGCAUAAUAACCAAGUCAUCCCUCCAGCUACCAUCUUCAAGACCCUAGACCGUGAAGUCAUUAACUCUAAUUGAGCUGUUUGCUCAAUUAGAGUCUGAAAUCUUCUGGAUUAGUUUGCUUCCUAGUUUUUUAUUCAUUUUUGCCAAGGAACCAAGUCUUAGGUAAUCCUUAUGUAAUUCCUAACAUUUCAUUUAUAUGAUAUUUACUCUCUUUGCAAAAAAAAUAUAACAUUUUUAUGUUAUAAUAUAUUUGAUUUGCCGUUUAAAAAAAAAAUUGUUUCUAUUAAAUAUCCAAGAACAUGAAGUCAUAUAUUAUUCCCUAUAUUAUUUAGGAGGUCAGUUUGGUAACCAGUAAUAAAUGGGGUCAUGGGGAUGUCAUAAACAGCAGUGAACAAUAGGACACGCUUUAAAAAAAAAAAAAAAAGAAGAAGAAGAGCGAACCCUAAUUUCCGAUCAUGUCGCGGAAUAAGCAUCUGAGAUCAGCAUGUGAGCAGUGCCGCAAUUUAUCUUCAUCCCGUAGUAGCAAAGUGGAGAUGGGAGCUAGGUUCUUAGUUCAAGGUUAUUAUUUGUAUGGAGGUCAAUUAGAUAAAUAUGAGGAGAAGCGGCAACAGAUUGUGAUGGACGUUUUUGGGAAUCCUGCGGAAAUCGAGGAUCUGAGGAAGAAAAUGUGGCCUGAGUUAAGGAAGAUGGCGUGGUUUAGAAGUUUGGACAAGAAGUGGUCUGACUAUAAAUCGAAAUCCUAAAUAUCUCUGAUGCUUUGUACCCGGUCAUUGUGUAGUAGUCGAACAUAUAAAUUAAGGAAUUGCGCAGCGUUAAAAAUAUAUGUCUUCUAUUAUUGUUGUAAGAAAAUAUGUCUAUGGGAAUGAAUGGGAAGCAUAAUGUUUCACUUAA